AAGGGAGUAGCCUAGCAACACAAAACAAGACCAGUGUUACAGAGAACACAAACAUCUUUGUAGCAGCCAUUCCUGGAGAACCCAGGGAGGUGUUAGGGCUCAAAGUGACAAAGUAAAAAGGAGAAUUAGGAGUGAAGGAAAAAAAAAAGUACAGAAAUGAGCUGGACUCUGAUUAAAAUGUGAUUAUUGCACAAAGAGAUGGUGGCAGUUACCAUGAAAGAAGAGAAAGAGAUCCCACACUGGACCUCCAGCUACCUUCUUCAGCUGAUUUUGGCACUGCCAGCUGGUACAUGCUGAAACCUGCGGCUCGGUGCUGUACCAAAGAAAAGUUGUCCAGGCAGAGAAACGAAGAUCAACCCAAAAUAUAUGACUACCGAAUGACAAAGUCCUCCAACUCUUGCCUGUACCUUCUCCCCAGUGAUUUCAAGGCGCACAGUUUGAGUAGCAAGCAGAAACCAGAAGAGAACAGGGAAAGUUGCAAGCUGAACAAACAGCCCUGGAAAUAAAGCUCCAGACUGGAUUUCCCCACGGAAAGGAGGUUAAGCAUGGGAAGGGACUGCCCAGGGAGGUGUGGAGUCACCAUCCCCAGAGGAGUUCAGGAC